GUUUUGAGUGGGAGUCCUUGUGGAGAGAGAUAUUGGUCCCCAAAGAUUCGCCCCUUUUGAGAAGUGUGGGGUUUUGGGAGUUUCUACCUCCAUGGAAGCUUGAGGAACACUCAUUCCUCUAUUGUGUGAUCAUUGGUGGAUUGAGGCAAGAGGACCAAGUGGAGUGACCAACCCUUGGGGUUGUGUGCAAUUGAGGAAAGCUCAAAGAGCAAGGUACUGAUAGAGGUGAGGUUGAUCGAGGCAAGAAGCGUGAGUAGACUGUACCUGAUAGCUGGACAUGUUGAGUUGCAUGCCAUUUAGCAUUGCUAUAUGUAUAUUUUGAUGCCACAUGAUGUAUUUUGGAGGACUUAGUGCAUGAUCAUUGUAGUAGUAAUGGGUAUCUGAUACAGGGUUACUUGCUUUGAUCAUGUUCAUUUUGUAGC